AGAGAACCAGGCGCUGGUGAGCUGGCUGGGAGCUCGGAGUAUAAUAUCCUUCACGGCCACCAUGGAGGACCAGCAUGGUGGUCUUCUCAGCUGUAGCACCACUGCCAACAGCUGCCGGAUCCCCAGCCUCAAGUGUGGCCAGGUUUAUGACAUUAGUGUCAUUUACCAUGAUGGAAUCUGUCCCAGUAUGCCUUCCAACGCCAUACAAAUGGAGUCUGUACCAUGUGGUCCAACAAAUGUUCAGGCUGAGGUGCAGUGCCCCUCGGGUGUUAUCUCACUCAGCUGGGACAGAACAGAAGAUGCUGAGGGUUAUAUCGCCACUAUAGUUUCCAAGACCUCUGGAGAGCUGGUUUACUGCAACUCUACCUUGCCUUCCUGUAACGUGAGCAAUCUGCAGUGUGGUGAUUCAUACUCUGUACAGAUCAAAUCAUACAACGGCUCCUGUGUGAGCAUGCCGAGUUCACCUCUAGUGGUUAGAGAGGGUGAGGCACUGAUUCAUUCACUAAACAUUAGUUUCAUAUCACUUGACUUCCGUGCAGCUGUUGGAGUGUUAUGCUAAUUCUUUCGACUCUGCCCCGCUAGUGCCUUGUGUGCCCACUAAUGUGACAGCCAGACGAACCUGUGGCAGCAGCACAGUGGAGCUAUCGUGGAGUGCAAGCCGUGGUGCUCAGUCCUACGUUGCUGUUGCUGUAGGUGAUGACGGGCACCGUACAAAGUGCUCCUCCAACACAACAACAUGUAGUGUUGACCUUGACUGUAGCAGUGUAUACUCCAUCAGCGUGAUGGCUGUAGAUGGUAAUUGCUCCACCUGGGAGAGUCAGAAGGUUACCCUGCACACAGGUGAGGCUAUCUGGGUAGUAAUGUCUGAUUUUCAAACAAAUUGAUCUUUCGAAGCAGUGUUGUUUUUGUUAACUGAAAAUAAAAUGAACAGCUGUCAUUAAUUGAAAUAAAGGUGAAUAUUAAAAUUAAAUUUUUGUCUAAAGAGACACUGACCCACUCUCUUUCCCCUCUUUUUCAUGUUUAAUAGUUCCCUGCCCACCAGUGAACAUCCAGAGCACUAUGAACUGUAGCACCAACUCUGCCACUCUGUCCUGGACGGCCAGUGCUAACGCAGUGUCCUACAGAGGCAGGGCUUCAGGCAGAGAUGGCCACAAUGUGACGUGUGAUGUCAGAACUCCCGGGUGCCAGUUAAACGGCCUGCACUGUGGACAGGAGUAUGUGUUUGUCGUAACUGCUUCUGAUGGAAGCUGUGAAAGUCCAGACAGCGUCAAGAACAGACAUGAGACAGGUAUCACAAUAUUAAAAGUAAAAAUAAUAAUAGUUAACAUUUUCUUCAGGAAAUCAACAUUAUAAACCCAGAACAUUACAUGAAGUGUCUCUUUCUCUCCUCACCUGUUGAUUUCCAGCACCGUGUGCCCCUCAAAGUGUGUC
rnacentral:lncRNA from 1 species